rnacentral:rRNA from 1 species
CCUACGUGGGGCUGCAGUGAGGAAUAUUGGUCAAUGGACGAGAGUCUGAACCAGCCCAGUAGCGUGAAGGAUGACUGCCCUAUGGGUUGUAAACUUCUUUUAUAUGGGAAUAAACUGUUCCACGUGUGGGAUUUUGUAUGUACCAUAUGAAUAAUGAUCGGCUAACUCCGUGCCAACAGCCGCGGUAAUACGGAGGAUCCGAGCGUUAUCCGGAUUUAUUGGGUUUAAAGGGAGCAUAGGUGGAUUGUUAAGUCAGUUGUGAAAGUUUUCGGCUCAACCGUAAAAUUGCAGUUGAAACUGGCAGUCUUGAGUACAGUAGAGGUGGGCGGAAUUCGUGGUGUAGCGGUGAAAUGCUUAGAUAUCACGAAGAACUCCGAUUGCGAAGGCAGUUCACUGGACUGCAACUGACACUGAGGCUCGAAAGUGUGGGUAUCAAACAGGAUUAGAUACCCCAGUAGUC